rnacentral:rRNA from 1 species
UACAGAGGGUGCAAGCGUUGUUCGGAAUUAUUGGGCGUAAAGCGCGCGUAGGCGGCUUUGCAAGUCGGGUGUGAAAGCCCUCAGCUUAACUGAGGAAGUGCGCCCGAAACUGCAAGGCUUGAGUGUCGGAGAGGAUGGCGGAAUGCCCCAAGUAGAGGUGAAAUUCGUAGAUAUGGGGCGGAACACCGGUGGCGAAGGCGGCCAUCUGGACGAUAACUGACGCUGAGGCGCGAAAGCGUGGGUAGCAAACAGG